rnacentral:rRNA from 1 species
GAUGAACGCUGGCGGCGUGCCUAAUACAUGCAGGUCGAGCGGUAACACUUCGGGUGACGAGCGGCGGACGGCUGAGUAACGCGUAGGAAUGUACCCCAGAGUGAGGGAUAAGCACCGGAAACGGUGUCUAAUACCGCAUAACCUCUUCGGAGAAAAGCUUCGGCGCUUUGGGAACGGCCUGCGUAUGAUUAGCUUGUUGGUGAGGUAAAAGCUCACCAAGGCUAUGAUCAUUAGCUGGUCUGAGAGGAUGAUCAGCCAGACUGGGACUGAGACACGGCCCAGACUCCUACGGGAGGCAGCAGUAGGGAAUUUUCCACAAUGGACGAAAGUCCGAUGGAGCAACGCCGCGUGCAGGAUGAAGGCCUUCGGGUUGUAAACUGCUUUUAUCUGUGAAGAUUAUGACGGUAGCAGAUGAAUAAGGAUCGGCUAACUCCGUGCCAGCCGCCGCAGUAA